CCUACGGGCGGCUGCAGUGGGGAAUUUUGCGCAAUGGGCGAAAGCCUGACGCAGCAACGCCGCGUGGGUGAUGAAGGUCUUCGGAUCGUAAAACCCUGUCGUUGGGGACGAAGGUGGGGGCGUUAAUAGCGUUUCUGCUUGACGGUACCCGGAGAGGAAGCCCCGGCUAACUCUGUGCCAGCAGCCGCGGUAAUACAGAGGGGGCAAGCGUUAUUCAGAAUUAUUGUGGGCAGAGGGCUCGUUGGCGGUUGAAAGCCCCGAGCUCAACUUGGGAACUGCAUCUGAGACUGGAAGGCUAGAGUACUGGAGAGGGUGGUGGAAUUCCUCGUGUAGCGGUGAAAUGCGUAGAGAUGAGGAGGAACACCAGUGGCGAAGGCGGCCACCUGGACAGUAACUGACGCUGAGGCGCGAAAGUGUGGGUAGCAAACAGGAUUAGAUACCCUAGUAGUC
rnacentral:rRNA from 1 species